rnacentral:rRNA from 1 species
GAUGAACGCUGGCGGCGUGCCUAAUACAUGCAAGUCGAGCGAACGGACGAGAAGCUUGCUUCUCUGAUGUUAGCGGCGGACGGGUGAGUAACACGUGGAUAACCUACCUAUAAGACUGGGAUAACUUCGGGAAACCGUAGCUAAUACCGGAUAAUAUUUUGAACCGCAUGGUUCAAAAGUGAAAGACGGUCUUGCUGUCACUUAUAGAUGGAUCCGCGCUGCAUUAUCUAGUUGGUAAGGUAACGGCUGACCAAGGCAACGAUGCAUAGCCGACCUGAGAGGGUGAUCGGCCACACUGGAACUGAGACACGGUCCAGACUCCUACGGGAGGCAGCAGUAGGGAAUCUUCCGCAAUGGGCGAAAGCCUGACGGAGCAACGCCGCGUGAGUGAUGAAGGUCUUCGGAUCGUAAAACUCUGUUAUUAGGGAAGAACAUAUGUGUAAGUAACUGUGCACAUCUUGACGGUACCUAAUCAGAAAGCCACGGCUAACUACGUG